GCAGGUGGUGCAGAGGGUGGCAACGCAGUCGCACCAGCCAUCGCCUCCGUCACACAACUCGUCGCAGCCGUGGAUGAGGUAGGGACCUAUAAUGCCUUGACGUGGUAGCGGCGAGGCUUCCGCGCGGGCUAAAGCGCGCCUCAACAGUCUCACGGAAAUUUCGCCAGUGACUGCUGCCCACUUCACCUUACGUCGUACUGAGUUUACUUCAGCACUUAAUAUGGGAUAGCAUAAUGUCUUAAGGAGCCAUGAUUUACAAAAAUGAUGAAAUUAACAUAAAACUUUUUUAAGAGUUGUUUCUUUGAAAAAAUAAGGAAGCAGGAGAAAAAUUACAUUCUAUAGGAAGGUUAAAUAGUUCUCAACUUUUUAUCUAAUCCAUUAACGAUACCAAACAACACUUGAAACAGUUUUACGUCAUUUAACCGUAUGACCAGCGAAUGAUAAGAGAGUGUGAUUUUGCAUGCAAUGCUCCUUUAUUAUCUUAUGCUAUCUCACUGUUAACAUUUUAAUCAUAAUGAUGGUUAAAGUAGUAAACAACAAUAGUGCAUGUUAUACAAUUUUAACUAGACUGGUAAACUCAAAGUUCUUGAUAUUUGUAUCACAAUCAAGUCUCGGGUCUGUCCUAUCUAUUUGUAAAUGAUACUACUAAUCAUCUUUAUAUUAUUUUGUGAAUAUUGUGUAGAUAAUUUUUAAUGGAGGCUUUAUUUACCGUCAUCAGGCGAGCGAGGUUAACGGACAUUUUAAAUAUGGUCUCUGAUUUGGAUAUUAUAAUACAACGGACGUUGUAACAUUAGACGACACGACGCGACUAACGAUAAUGGGAUGUUAUUUAUAGUAAGGUAUAAAUACGACAAAUGGCGCUAAUUUUAAUAAUGUAGCAGAUUUGCCAUACGAGAUAAGAUGUGUUUUAAAUUAAAUUAGCGCCAUCUGUUGUAUACAGACUUUACGGUCCAUUUUCGUAUUGAUAUCGUUGUGUCUGAUGCUACAACGCCUAUUAUUCGACACAGAAAGUAAGGGAUCAGUCAGAGGUUACACACGGUGACAGUAUUAUACCUUGCUAUGUGCCUUCUUAUAAUCGUGUAGCCUUCAUUGAAUGCUGGAAAACUAUUUUUAUAAAGAUCGAUCAGGAUCUUGUGAAAAAGGUUUUCAACGUAUCUCAUUCAAUUCACUAAGAGACUAAGAUUUUUAAUGAGAUUCCGGUCUAUAUACAGGAAGUCAUGUAAAUAGUGGAUGAACAUUCAAGGGUUCACAGCAAAGGACAAAAUAAAAAAUUUUUUGUUAUUAAAUAUUUUAAAAUUUUUCCCAAAACUUCGAUAUUUUGUAUAUUAAUAUUUUCGGUGGCCCAAAGGCUAGCACUAUGGGCGCUCGUUGAGGAGGUCACGGGUUCAAUUAACAGUACGUACGUGUGAUUUUGGUCUGGAUAGUGACCCCUUGUUAACCACCGCUACUUCAUUUUAAUUAUAUUAAUUUUUUGAAGGUUUUCUGCGUACUUAUAAAAAUUAAAUUGUUAUGCAAGCUGUCACCCCUUGACUAUUAUCCAUUAAGUAAUGAAUUCUCUGUACAAGUGACGGAUUGAUUUUAUUGGAUAUCGCGGGUUGUGGUCACAUGUAGCCGCAAUCGAGUCACAAAGUUGCAAUGCCAUAGUGUAAUAAAUAAAAAAUAUUACGUAAUGAAUACUUAAGAUGUUUAUGCCUUAUCAUAUUUUAUUAUUACGUGCAUUAUUUAUGUAAAUAUCAUCUGUUCCAUGCGCACGAGUUUUUUUUUGUUUUUCAACUGUGAUCGAGACCGUCGCGUUUAUUGUGAAUAUGUUUGUCGAUAUUUUGAAGAUGUUUGCUAAUGGGCUAAUAGAAUCUUUGAAUUUUGACAUAAGAUGUUGAAAGCGUUGGCGUGUUAUUUCCAUAUAUAUUUAGAUUGUCGUUAAAAGUAAUAUUCGGUAUUCAUAUUCCAUAUAUCUGCAUCAUCCCGGGGUACCUUGACCAUUGUUAGUGCUGACCUCUUUUAGUGCGCCUUGCGCCUGUUUAAUUACUAGUGUCAUUCUGCUGGUGAUUGUUUGAGUGCUUGUUUAACGGUAUUGGUUCUUAAAUUAUAAAUAUUCGUGGAGAACUGUUUGCUACACUUCGCCAAUGUUUUGCCAUAUAAUUUUUUCUAAAAUUAUUGUUUACUAACACAUUUUUUUUGUAUAGGUACGUAUGAUCGUGAUCAUCGUCUAAAUUCUAACGUAUUUAUGUGCUUUAGAAGUCGAUGUUUUAAUGUGGUAUGGAAAGUGUUUUAUUAGUGUUUCUUUAGUGUCAUUCCAGACAAAAGACAAUAUUGUCAGCAUUUAUAGAUUAUUCUUUGAACUUAGUUCUGAUAACCGGUGAGUUAAAACAUCUAAUUGUUCACGUAAGCAAAUUUAUUAUAAAUUCUGGUAGUUUAGUAUUCAAAUUUAGAUUUUAGUUGUGGUUAAUUACGUAUUCGGAAUAAUACUGACUAAAACAGUAAUAACGGUUCACUAGAGCAGAUUUUUCUUAUAGGUACGGCGAUUCGACGAGGGUAAAGUAUUAAUUAUGUGAAUAUAAAAAAGUAUUCCGGCACCAACGACCAUACGGUGUCAAUAUAAAAAAAACAUGCUUAAUAUGCGACAAUAUUUAGCAGUUGGGAGUAUAUAGAGUAUAUUAUUAUGAAGACUACAAAACAAUUAUUAUUGCUGUGUAAAAAUGUAAACCUUAUUAUAAAUGUGUAAAUUGUGUAGUAUAAUAUAAAGAAAGCUGUUUUAUGAAGUGUUCUUAUAAGCAUAUGGAGAGUAGUUAAAAGUCUUUCCAAUCAUUAAUUUGGCUCGGCGGGAGGGGUUUUGUAACUUUGUAACCUUGUUUGUAACGAGAGGUAUCUCCGAUUCUUGCGUCCGGAGGUAGACUGACCGUUCCCUUUGACGAAAGUACUUUAAGUGCUGCGCGCGUCUCUCCCUUCGCGCCGUGUUUUGCCUUGUAUUUUAUUUUGCCAUGUCACGAGCAUGGAAGACGAGUUGAUUUCGACGGAGGAUCAAAAAUUAUUUUUCCACUUGAUCGUAUAAUAGA